GACCCUACGGGGGGCAGCAGUGGGGAAUAUUGCACAAUGGGGGAAACCCUGAUGCAGCGACGCCGCGUGAGUGAAGAAGUAUCUCGGUACGUAAAGCUCUAUCAGCAGGGAAGAAAAUGACGGUACCUGACUAAGAAGCCCCGGCUAACUCCGUGCCAGCAGCCGCGGUAAUACGGAGGAUGCGAGCGUUAUCCGGAUUUAUUGGGUUUAAAGGGUGCGUAGGCGGAAUGCCAAGUCAGCGGUAAAAUCGCGGGGCUCAACCUCGCUCCGCCGUUGAACCUGGCGUUCUUGAGUGGGCGAGAAGU
rnacentral:rRNA from 1 species